GAGGGGAUUUUCGGGGAUUUUCCUUGAUUUUUCUUUUGAUUUCUUUUUUUUCUUUCUUUCUGUAAUUCGGGCUAUAUAAAGCCAUUACAAAAUUUUGUAAAGGGUUACACUGACGGAGAAUAUCAAUAGAAACGAAAAAAAUUAAAAAGAAAAAGGUGAUUUGUUCUCUGAUUUCGAUUUUUUUUCAUUUUUCUUUUUGCCUCUGUUUUCAUUUCGUU
rnacentral:lncRNA from 1 species